UACAGAGGUCCCAAGCGUUGUUCGGAUUCACUGGGCGUAAAGGGUGCGCAGGUGGGUUUGCAAGUUCGAUGUGAAAGCCCCCGGGCUUAACCCGGGAAUGGCAUUGGAUACUGCAGAUCUGGAGGAUCGGAGGGGGGACUGGAAUUCUUGGUGUAGCAGUGAAAAUGCGUAGAUAUCAAGAGGAACACCAGUGGCGAAGGCGAGUCCCUGGACGAUACCUGACACUGAGGCACGAAAGCUAGGGGGAGCAAACAGG
rnacentral:rRNA from 1 species